rnacentral:rRNA from 1 species
CCUACGGGAUGCAGCAGUGAGGAAUAUUGGUCAAUGGGCGCAAGCCUGAACCAGCCAAGUCGCGUGAGGGAUGACGGUUCUCUGGAUUGUAAACCCCUUUUGUCGGGGAGCAAGGCUCGCCACGUGUGGCGGGAAGGCGAGUACCCGAAGUAAAAGCAUCGGCUAAGUACGGGCCAGCAGCCGCGGUAAUACGGAGGGUGCGAGAGUUAACCGGAUUUGUUGGGUGUAAAGGGUACGUGGGCGGAAAGGUAAGUCAGCGGUGAAAUGUCCGGGCCUAACAACGGCCCUGCCGUUGAUACUGGUCUGCUUGAGUGCGCGAGAGGUGUGCGGAAUGCCUGGUGUAGCGGUGAAAUGCGUAGAUAUCACGCAGAACACCGAUGGCGAAGGCAGCAGACUGGGACUGAACUGACGCUGAGGCGCGAAAGCGUGGGGAGCGAACAGGAUUAGAUACCCCAGUAGUC